GGGGCUUUAGCUCAGCUGGGAUGAGCGCCUGACUGGCAGUCAGGAGGUCGCGAGUUCGAUCCUCGCAAGCUCCACCA
rnacentral:tRNA from 1 species